rnacentral:lncRNA from 1 species
AUGAUGGGUGAGGAAAAUUUCCUCCCAGUAUUACCCUCUGUUUUCCUCCCCAUUCAUUACCCUUCUGUUUCCUCCCCAUCAUUACCCUUCUGUUUUCCUCCCCCAUCAUUACCCUUUCUGUUUUCCUACCCAUCAUUACCCUUUGUUUCCUCCUACAUUAUUACGCUUCUGUUUCCUCCCCUGUCAUUACCCUUCUGUUCCUCCUCAUUAUUACGCGUCUGUUUUACUCCCCAUCAUUACCUUCUGUUUUCCUCCCAUUGUUUCAUUACCCUUCUGUUUUCCUCCUACAUCUUUACGUUGUUUCCUCCCCUUGUCAAUUACCCUCUGAUUUUCUCUUCCACAUUAUUCCGCUUCUGUUUUCCUCCCCAUCAUUACCCUUCUGUUUUCCUCCCCAUCAUUACCCUUCUGUUUUCCUCCCCAUCAUUACCCUUCUGUUUUCCUCCCCCAUUUCAUUACCCUUCUGUUUCUCCCCCCUCAUUACCAAUCUGUUUUAUUCUCCCCAUCAUUACUAG